rnacentral:lncRNA from 1 species
UAAAACGAAUUACACGCCAGCAUCAUCUCUCUCGUAAGACCCUAGAUGCCAUUGCCAUCUUCAACCUCUAGCUUCGCGAAAUCUGCACCAAAUCGAGUGGUUCUUGGGUGUAACUUGCUUAGUUUUUCGAGGAGAACACAAUUCUAGCAUCUAUUCUGUCCGAUUUCCAUCCGUUCGCGAGUAAUCAGAAUGUGGGGUGGCGAACCCUAAUUUCUAAAUUUGGGGUUUUUCGUUUUGGAGUGAAGUGUGUUGAAUUUGAAGCGUAUUCUAGCAUAUCUAAACAUAAACGUUAGAUGAGUGACGCGAACGAGACGCCUAGGGAAAGAGAAAGCUGUUGAUCCGCCAUCUAAACCGGUUGCGGCAAAGAAGCGGAAAACAACCAUCGAUCAGGUCCACGUGCUCAUUCCGUACUCUAGUUGAACAAUUUUAGUUUUUCUU